rnacentral:rRNA from 1 species
GGAUAAUCUACCCUUUGGAUUGGAAUAACCUGUCGAAAGACGGGCUAAUGCCAAGUAAGCUUACGAGUACGUGAAGUUCUUGUAAGGAAAGAUGGCGCAAGCAAUCGCCGAAGGAUGAGUCUGCGUCCCAUUAGUUAGUUGGUGGGGUAAUGGCUUACCAAGACUAUGAUGGGUACCUGGUCUGAGAGGAUGACCAGGCACACUGGAACUGAAACACGGUCCAGACUCCUACGGGAGGCAGCAGUAGGGAAUAUUGCGCAAUGGACGAAAGUCUGACGCAGCCACGCCGCGUGGGUGAGGAAGGCCUUCGGGUUGUAAAGCUCUGUCAUUCGGGAAAAAUAGCCAUCCGGGGAAAGUUCGGGUGGUCUGAUGGUACCGAAGGAGGAAGCACCGGCAAACUCUGUGCCAGCAGCCGCGGUAAUACAGAGGGUGCAAGCGUUGUUCGGAAUUACUGGGCGUAAAGCGUGCGUAGUCGGUAUUGAGAGUCACGGGUGAAAUCCCCACGCUUAACGUGGGAACUGCCUGUGAGACCUCAGUACUAGAGUGUGAGAGGGGAUAGUGGAAUACCAAGU